rnacentral:lncRNA from 1 species
AAUAACUAAAUUAAAAUUUCUUCAUUUCUUCCAAUGCUUUCAUCUUGCUCAAGCUCAUUCUUUGGAAGCAGACCAAAUCAAAAUCACCACACAACCUAAAUUCCACCUUCCUCAAAUCACCAGACAACUUAAAUUCCACCUUCCUCAAAUCACCAGCAAACCUAAAUUCCCAAAUCCCCAAAUCUAUUUGUUAACCAAAAAUCCCUAAAAUUGCUAACCCAAAACUCCCAAAUCCCUAAAGUCCCGAACUCUAUUUGUUUUACUCGAAGGAAGAGAGGAAAAAUCACCGUAAACGUCGCUACGAUCAGGUUUCCCCCUCCCCCUCCCCCCCCCCCCCGCCAACCCCUCUCUUCCAUCAAUCCUCUCUUUUUUUUCUCUAGUUAUGUUUUUUCUUUUUGCGAUUCUCUCUGGCAACCAGAAGAUUCAGAAUUUGAGAUCUCCAGAUCAAGAUUCUUCAU